rnacentral:lncRNA from 1 species
GUUACCAUAAGGGAUCUGACGGCGGUGACCGUGACGGCAACGGCGGUGAGAUAACGGAAAGUUUGACGGCAAUAUGCGUUGGUGUGGGUGGAUGUGACGGUUGAUUGGACGGAAAUUGAGGUAAGUUAACGGAACGUGGUCGAUGGAGUUGAGAUUGAACGAAACGGUGUCGUGUUGUUGGGUUUUUGAAGAACUAUGAAAGCGCGUGGUGGUUUCGGAA